UACGUAGGGGGCGAGCGUUGUCCGGAUUUAUUGGGCGUAAAGAGCUCGUAGGCGGCUUAGCAAGUCGGGUGUGAAAACUCCAGCUCAACCUGGAGACGCCACUCGAGACUGCUAUGGCUAGAGUCCGGUAGGGGACCACGGAAUUCCUGGUGUAGCGGUGAAAUGUGUAGAGAUCGGAAAGAACACCAACGGCGAAAGCACUCUGCUGGGCCGACACUGACACUGAGAGACGAAAGCUAGGGGAGCGAAUGGG
rnacentral:rRNA from 1 species